GACGAACGCUGGCGGCGUGCUUAACACAUGCAAGUCGAACGGAAAGGCCCUGCUUUUGUGGGGUGCUCGAGUGGCGAACGGGUGAGUAACACGUGAGUAACCUGCCCUUGACUUUGGGAUAACUUCAGGAAACUGGGGCUAAUACCGGAUAGGAGCUCCUGCUGCAUGGUGGGGGUUGGAAAGUUUCGGCGGUUGGGGAUGGACUCGCGGCUUAUCAGCGUGUUGGUGGGGUAGUGGCUUACCAAGGCUUUGACGGGUAGCCGGCCUGAGAGGGUGACCGGCCACAUUAGGACUGAGAUACGGCCCAGACUCCUACGGGAGGCAGCAGUGGGGAAUAUUGCACAGUGGGCGGAAGCGUGAUACAGCAGCGCAGCGUGCGGGAUGACGGCCUUCGGGUUGUAAACCGCUUUCGCCUGUGACGAAGCGUGAGUGACGGUAAUGGGUAAAGAAGCACCGGCUAACUACGUG
rnacentral:rRNA from 1 species